rnacentral:misc_RNA from 1 species
AACCUUAUGGACCUGCGGGCGUAUACCUGCGGAGGGAUCAUUACCGAGUUAGGGUUGCUCUUGCAGUGCCCGACCUCCCAACCCUUUGUCUAUGAUACCUAUUAGUUGCUUCGGCGUGCCGGGGGACCUCUGGUCGCCCGCCGGGCCCACGGCCUGGAGCGUGCACGUCGACGGCCUCCAAUUAACACUUGAACCCAAAACCUGUCGUCUGAACUAUUUGUGAUUACUACAAUCAAAAAC